rnacentral:lncRNA from 1 species
ACAGGCCCCGCCCUACGCUCUUUGUCCCACCCCCACUGCCUUCCUAGCCCAAGCCCCUCCCCACCUCUGCGUCCAAUGCUGUCCUCGCUCCGCCCUCUCCCCGCCCCCAUCUCACUCUCCGCCCCACCUCCCCAACUCCAUGCUCGCCCUGCCCAGCCACUCGCCAAUCCAGGCUCACUUUCCAGCCCGUCCUGGCCAGGUGGCUAUUGGGAACGCAAGUUAACCUAAAGAUGGCAGUAAGCCGUUUUAGCUAGGGUCACCUUUAAGGAUUCUG